UCGGGAAUAUUGGGCAAUGGGCGAAAGCCUGACCCAGCGACGCCGCGUGAGGGAAGAAGGCCUUCGGGUCGUAAACCUCUGUCAUCGGGGACGAAGGAAGUGACGGUACCCGAGGAGGAAGCCCCUGCUAACUACGUGCCAGCAGCCGCGGUAAUACGUAGGGGGCGAGCGUUGUCCGGAGUUACUGGGCGUAAAGGGCGUGUAGGCGGCCUGUUAAGUCAGGUGUGAAAUUCCGGGGCUUAACUCCGGAGCUGCGCUUGAAACUGGCAGGCUAGAGGGCAGGAGAGGGAAGUGGAAUUCCCGGUGUAGCGGUGGAAUGCGUAGAUAUCGGGAGGAACACCAGUGGCGAAGGCGGCUUCCUGGACUGUACCUGACGCUGAGGCGCGAAAGCUAGGGGAGCAAACAGG
rnacentral:rRNA from 1 species